AUUGAACGCUGGCGGCAUGCCUUACACAUGCAAGUCGAACGGCAGCGGGGACUUCGGUCCGCCGGCGAGUGGCGAACGGGUGAGUAAUGUAUCGGAACGUACCUUUCAGUGGGGGAGAACGUAGCGAAAGUUACGCUAAUACCGCAUAUUCUCUGAGAAGGAAAGCAGGGGACCUUCGGGCCUUGUGCUGAUGGAGCGGCCGAUAGCAGAUUAGCUAGUUGGUGAGGUAAAGGCUCACCAAGGCGACGAUCUGUAGCGGGUCUGAGAGGAUGAUCCGCCACACUGGGACUGAGACACGGCCCAGACUCCUACGGGAGGCAGCAGUGGGGAAUUUUGGACAAUGGGCGCAAGCCUGAUCCAGCCAUGCCGCGUGAGUGAAGAAGGCCUUCGGGUUGUAAAGCUCUUUCGGACGGGAAGAAAUUGGUGGGGCUAAUAUCCCCAUCGGAUGACGGUACCGUAAUAAGAAGCACCGGCUAACUACGUGCCAGCCGCCGCCGUAAUAC
rnacentral:rRNA from 1 species